UACAGAGACUGCAAGCGUUAUUCGGAUUCACUGGGCGUAAAGGGCGCGCAGGCGGCCGGGUGUGUGAGGCGUGAAAGCCCGGGGCUUAACCCCGGAAUUGCACCUCAAACUACACGGCUAGAGCAUUGGAGAGGGUAGCAGAAUUCAUGGUGUAGCAGUGAAAUGCGUAGAUAUCAUGAGGAAUACCAGAGGCGAAGGCGGCUACCUGGACAAUUGCUGACGCUCAGGCACGAAAGCGUGGGGAGCAAAAGGG
rnacentral:rRNA from 1 species